rnacentral:rRNA from 1 species
ACACGGACCAGACUCCUACGGGAGGCAGCAGUGAGGAAUAUUGGUCAAUGGCCGGGAGGCUGAGCCAGCCAAGUCGCGUGAGGGAAGACGGCCCUACGGGUUGUAAACCUCUUUUGUCAGGGAGCAAGAGGCGGGUCGAGACCUGCUGUGAGAGUACCUGAAGAAAAAGCAUCGGCUAACUCCGUGCCAGCAGCCGCGGUAAUACGGAGGAUGCGAGCGUUAUCCGGAUUUAUUGGGUUUAAAGGGUGCGCAGGCGGAGGCACAAGUCAGCGGUAAAAUCGCGGGGCUCAACCCCGCUCCGCCGUUGAAACUGUGUCCCUUGAGUGCGCGAAGGGUAGGCGGAAUGCGUGGUGUAGCGGUGAAAUGCAUAGAUAUCACGCAGAACUCCGAUCGCGAAGGCAGCCUACCGGCGCGCAACUGACGCUCAUGCACGAAAGCGUGGGUAUCG